rnacentral:rRNA from 1 species
UACGGAGGGGGCUAGCGUUGUUCGGAAUUACUGGGCGUAAAGCGCGCGUAGGCGGACCUGCAAGUCGGGGGUGAAAGCCCGAGGCUCAACCUCGGAACUGCCUUCGAUACUGCGGGUCUCGAGUCCGGGAGAGGUGAGUGGAAUUCCUAGUGUAGAGGUGAAAUUCGUAGAUAUUAGGAAGAACACCAGUGGCGAAGGCGGCUCACUGGCCCGGUACUGACGCUGAGGCGACGAAAGCGUGGGGAGCAAACAGGG